GCCGGGGUAGCUCAGGUGGUUAGCAGCGCGUGACUCAUAGGAUCUAGCCUGUGAGUGCUGAUCUCACGAGAUGAUGUGGGAAAUCGCGAGGUCGCGGGUUCGAGUCCCGCCCCCGGCA
rfam:Candidate divison MSBL1 archaeon SCGC-AAA259I09 AAA259I09_Contig_122, whole genome shotgun sequence.